rnacentral:lncRNA from 1 species
GUUUUCUCUUCAUUUUGCAGGUAUGGCUGACACUUAGAAGAAUCUAAGACCAGAUUCAGAAGAAAGUUUGAGUGCAGUUUUAUUAGAAUUUCAACAAAACAAAACAAAACUGCAGGGCCGGCAAGUUGUAAAUCUCAGCAGCUGUCUGGAGGAGGGAGGUGAAGUAGAAGAGAGAAAGCCACGUUGGAUCUAAACAGCCAGAUGAUGGAGCCAUCUGAGGUGCUCAUGUGCUACAGUGCAUGUUGAAGUCAGAGGACAACAUUUGGAAGUUGAGUCUCUUCUGCUACAUUGUGUGAUCUGUGGAUGAAACUCAGGUCAUAAAGCAUAUGUAAGAGGACACUGGCUGCUCUAGGACUGGAGAUACACAUAGUGGAGCCCAUGGAGGCCAGAAGACAGAUCCCCUGGAGCUGGAAUUAGGUAUGGUUGUGAACUACCAUGUGAGUGCUGGGAACUGAAUGCCGUCCCUUCCAAGAACAGCUGCAAAAGAAAGCAUCUUUGAUGUGGAGGAUGAGUGAGACCUAUACUUAUCUGUAUGCAUAAGAUAGGCAUAUACUUAUGUGAGUAUAUUAGAUAUACUUAUAAGAUAUACUUAUCUUAUAGGGAGCUAAAAAUUUACUAGUUCAGGCAAGUGGCAGUACUAGGUUCUCCUUGAGGGUUCAGGGCUCACUCACCAGCCAAAGGCAGGCCCCUAGGUUUGCAGUAUGUGGCAUGAAUUUCCUCCUAUUGAGCAGGUCUUAAGUCCAUUUAGAUGGCUGCUAGUUGCUUCUAUCUGGGUCUUAACUGUUCCAUCAUCUUUUACAAUAUAGAGUUUUCUGGAUGUAGAAUUUUUGUCUUAUGUAGUUUCCUUUUCAAAUAUGUAAACAUGGCAUUUAAUGUCAUAUUAAAAAAAACUUAAAUAUUGCCCCAGGAUACUGUGAAUAAAUUGCAGGUUAAUACAUUAAAGAUUUCUCCUGUUGUGAUUUCUUGUUUCACUUGAGAUUUUCUUUUUGUUCUAGUCUUGACAAUUUGCCUAAUUUUGUGUCUUCCCUGGGUUUAUUAGGCCUGGAUUUUGUGAUACAUCUUGGCUA